UUGGAAUAUUACUCAAGUCACAUGAUCAACAGGAAGUUGCAUCAUCUGAAUUUCCUGAAGAUCAUGGGAAAAAAAGAAAAACCUCCUCAGUUGAUCUGUCACUGAAGUCUGAAGAAAAGGAGUGAAAAUGACGACUAAAGAGCAUUCUAAACCAUGAGAAUACACACAGAGGACACAGAUGGAGGAGCAGCAGCAAGUCAAGCAAGCAGAGGAAAGUCUCAGGAGGCCAGACUGCUGCCCUGGUGAUAUAUUUUGCACCAGAGAGACUGAAGCCCUGGAAACUUAUUAAAGCCAGUGGGGUAUGACAGAUCUCCCCAUCUCUUUCAGUGCAGGCCAGUCUAAUUCAGUUCAUAAGAGCAGUGUGUAUCUGGUGUAUUGAUGGAUGAACAUAACAGUUUUGUGUACAUCUCUAUUUUUCUUUAUUUUUGUUUAUUCAAUAUACAGUAGAUAAGGUAGGACUUCACUUAAGGGCCACAUGACAACCACAUAAGUCCUUCAUAACAACUGGCAUAAAUAUUUAUUAGGGAUACAUCAAUACUAAUUUUGGGUAUUGUUCAAUAAACAUCUCAUUUAUUGGAAGAUUUAUUGUAAAAAUGCACUGAUACCAACACCUGAUACCAUGCCUAAGUAUCUGUACAGUUAUAUGCAACAGUUGUAUACAAAUAUAAACAUCUUGGGACCACACAGAUGCUGCAGGAAUGAGGCACAAAUUAACUCCCAGGGAUGAACAAACGUUGGUCUGAUAGGUUCAACUGAACCCCAAGACAGCAACAUAGGAACGGGCGAAGGAGUUAGAGGCAUCAGGUACAAAAGUAUGUAGAUCCACCAUUAAGAGAGUCCUACAUCUCCAUGGGCCUGAAAGGGUGUCGUGAAAGGAAGAAGCCCCUACUCUAAGUCCAACAUAAAAAGCCAGACUGAAGUUGGCAGGUGAUCACUAGCAUUUUGGAGCAGAAUUCUCUGGUCAGAUGAAACAAAAAAUUUUACUGUUUGGCCAUAAUGAUCAGUGCUACAGUAUGUAUGGAGGAAAAAGGGUGAGGCUUUUAAUUCAAAGAACAAUGUCCCAGCUGUGAAGCAUGGGGGUGGAAGCAUCAUGUAGUGAAGGUGUUUUGCUGGAAAAAGGACUGGUGUGCUUCAGAAAACAAAUGGCAUCAUGAGGAAGGAGGAUUAUUUAGAAAUACUGAAGCAAAACGUCAAGACAUCAUCCAGAAAGUUAAAACAUGGUCACAAAUGGGUCUUCCAGCAGGACAGUGAUCCUCCAGAGUCGUAACAAAAUGGCUUACAAGCAACAAAGUGAAAGUAGUGAAUUUGUAGUAGAAAAUCUGUGGAUGAAGCGAAAAAGCGUAUCCAAGAGAGAUGGUCCAUAAAUCUGGCUGAUUUAUACCAGUUCUUUCAGGAGGAAUGAGCAAAAAUUCUGCAUUGUGAGAAGCUUGUGGAAGGCUAAACCAAGCGUUUGAUUCAAGUUCAAGUAAUUAAAAAGGCAAUCCCACCAAAUAACAAAGUGUAUGUUAAAUUUGGAUCCACUGAAAAUCUGAUAUAGUAAAUAAAAGCUGAAAUAAAUCUGUCACUUAGCUAUUAUUUUGAAAUUACUUCUUAUGGAAAUAAAGUAGAUACCCUAAUUGACUCAACACAGGAAAUCUAUGGUAACAUAAAAUGUGUGGAGUUGAAAAAAAAAAAACCAUGGGUUUGAAUCUCUUUAGCCUAGAUGUAUGUAAACCUUUGGCCUCAACUGUAUCAAGAGGAGGAACGACAGCAUCUUCCUACAAUACAUGUAACCUGAUAAAAGGUUGGAAUAAGACUUUAUAAAUAUAUGUUGGUUGAUGAAGGGCUUAUGAAGGAUUCUUGUAGCCCUAAAAAAACGUGCCCUUAAGCAAAGCAGUGCUGAAAAUACUUUGCAUGCUGGCAGCAUGUAAAUUAAGGGCAAUGUGAUUUGGGUGGAUUUUAGGUCUGGUGGAUUUUAGGACGAAUCAAAGACUUAUCAAAACGAACACUUUCCGCUUGUGAACAUUUCAUGAACAGUGCAGCAGGGUUCAAAUGCCUGAAUGACUCAUCACAGAGAAAACUGGUAGAAAUGAUACAUUUUUAUCCCACAAAAACCAUGAUUGUUGUUAGAUGUUUAAGAAGUUAUAAUUCAACAUACUUUUCCAUGGCUAACAAGCUGAACGGUAGCUAAUAGGAAAAGCUGCUAUGAUCUUGUAGCCAUAACACAGAAAAACACACUUAAUGGUGCAGAAAAUACUUUAUAAACCAAAGAGACAGAAUAACUGAUUGCUCCUUCAUAAUUUCGUGCAGAUCACCAGCGGUAACUGGUUUUAAAGUUAGCGUUAGCAUUAGCUGUCCACCAAAGUACUAACCUUACCUUAAUCAACUGG